rnacentral:rRNA from 1 species
GGCUAGCGUUGUUCGGAAUUACUGGGCGUAAAGCGCACGUAGGCGGAUAUUUAAGUCAGGGGUGAAAUCCCGGGGCUCAACCCCGGAACUGCCUUUGAUACUGGGUAUCUAGAGUCCAGAAGAGGUGAGUGGAAUUCCGAGUGUAGAGGUGAAAUUCGUAGAUAUUCGGAGGAACACCAGUGGCGAAGGCGGCUCACUGGUCUGGUACUGACGCUGAGGUGCGAAAGCGUGGGGAGCAAACAGG